UCGGAUUAUUAUUGUACAUUUUCUAAAAAAAAUCUUGAAAUUCAGAAUAAAUCUUUGAGUUACCAAGAUUUUUGACAACCAUGAUAUAUAUUUUUUGAAAAUGUAAAGAUUGCUUCAAGUUGUGAAUAAAUUUAAAAAAAGAAACAUUUUCUUGCAUUUGUGUACAAAAAUUCUAAAUCAAGCGAUGAUAUGUGAACAUAAUAUGGUCACCAUCAUUGGAGAUUAUGUUUUUUUCUCCCGUGGCAACGCACGGGCCAUUUUGCUAGUCGUACUAUAUUAUGAUGCCACUUUUUUCUCGUUUUUUUUCUUUUUGGGUUUUCAUUUGGUUUUCCCUGAUUAACCAGGAAUGUUAAGUUUUUUGAUUCGAUUUUCCUUAUAAACUGAAUCAAUUCUUCUUUUAACCAAAAUACAGGAACCCUCCCUCUCUCGAGGUGUUCUCAAAAAAUAUAUUGUAUCUAUUGUCUAUUAAAAAUAAAAUACGGAGGAACUAAGAAAUUGGCUAAAAAAUUUCAUGUCAAUCAAAAAAUACUAACCUUUAAUCUAAUAGAUCUUCUAAAAUUCUUAAUCUAUGAUCGUUAAAUUUUCGUAACAUAAAUAACAUUGUAGGCCUCAAUAGACUCACGUGAGACAUAUACACGGACAUACGUUCAAGAAAAAUCAUAUUUUUUGCUAAGAAAGAAAAUAUACAACCCCAAAUGUAUAGCCCUAGGAAAGGACCUGUAUUAACGUGGAUGUUUCGCUGCAAAGUUAAUCUGGACUCUUGGUUAAAAAAAAUGCUUGGAGGAAACAAAUCACGGCCACGUUAGCUGGAAAGAAUAUGUACAUACACAUGUUCCAUUUGCUAAUAAAGAAAGGGAACAUUCUUCCAUUAAACUAUAUAAAAAAUGUGUUAAAAAACUAAACUAAUCACAUUUUAGACAAGCGUAUAUAAAAAUCAAAUUGUAUGUAUGUAAAAGUAGAAUGGUAACAUUUUAUGUUCUUUGCCAAUUACAAUAAUGAUG
rnacentral:lncRNA from 1 species